ACCAAGCAGUGCUGUGCCAAUUCAGGAGUGUUAAGAGAAUGAAAAAAAGUGCUGGUUUAGAGAGUAAAAGUGUUCAAGAUGCUUGAUAUGGAGGAACCUCAUCCAAAUUCAGGAGUUGAGGCAAAAAACCUCACGACAACUAAAUUGAAGGUAGUAUUGUGUGUGCAGCAGGCAUUUCUCCACCAAAAAAUAACUUCAUCCAGCUUCUGACAAACACUGCCACAAUGCCUGCCCAGAUCAACAUGUGGAAGGUUCUACUAGCUGCACCAGAUCAGAUGUUGACCUUAUAAAGAUAAAUACAUCAAUAGAUUUACACCACCAAGCAAAUUACACAUCAAACUAGUUGCUGACUUAUCCACACGAGAAUUUGCA